rnacentral:rRNA from 1 species
GACGAACGCUGGCGGCGUGCCUAAUACAUGCAAGUUGAGCGCUGAAGGUUGGUACUUGUACCCACUGGAUGAGCAGCGAACGGGUGAGUAACGCGUGGGGAAUCUGCCUUUGAGCGGGGGACAACAUUUGGAAACGAAUGCUAAUACCGCAUAAAAACUUUAAACACAAGUUUUAAGUUUGAAAGAUGCAAUUGCAUCACUCAAAGAUGAUCCCGCGUUGUAUUAGCUAGUUGGUGAGGUAAAGGCUCACCAAGGCGAUGAUACAUAGCCGACCUGAGAGGGUGAUCGGCCACAUUGGGAAUGGGACACGGCCCAAACCCCUUCGGGGGGCCGCAGUAGGGAAUCUUCGGCAAUGGACGAAAGUCUGACCGAGCAACGCCGGGUGAGUGAAGAAGGUUUUCGGAUCGUAAAACUCUGUUGGUAGAGAAGAAAGUUGGGGAGGGUGGAAAGCUCAUCAAGUGACGGUAACUACCCAGAAAGGGACGGCUAACUACGUG